UUGCACAAGCGACCGAUGCGUGGUUUUUGUCGAUAUAAUUGCAUACAAUUAGCU
ensembl:ncRNA Y71F9AR.5 ncRNA